ensembl:snRNA U6 U6 spliceosomal RNA
GUGCUCCCUUCAGCACAUAUACUAAAAUUGGAAUGAUACAGAGAUUAGCAUGGCCCUGUGCAAGGAUGACAUGCAAAUUUGUGAAGUGUUCCAUAUUUUU